rnacentral:tRNA from 1 species
GGCGAUAUGGCCAAGCGGUAAGGCAGAGGAUUGCAAAUUCUUGACCCCCAGUUCGAAUCUGGGUAUCGCCU